UCAAGGCAGAAGGAUUGCUUAAAGUUAGGAGUUCAAGACCAACCCGGGCAACAGGUGAAAUCCCAUCUUUACAAAAAAAUUAGCCAUAAGGCCUUCCUUCCAUAGCCACUGUGCUGUCUACCCAUGGGCAGCAGAUGCGUAAGGGCUGUCUGGCCUGUGUGUGGGACACAAAGAUCCUGGGUAGUGUCCCCAAGACCUUAAAAAGGAGACUGAUGGAUAUGUUGACUGGCUUUGCUGUUUUCACCAGGAAAACAGAUCUGACCACCAGAGUCCAGAGCAGAUCACCGUGCCUGUCCUGCCUUCAUUCUGGUUGUCUGGUGGGCCAACCAGUCUUAUCUAAAAGAGUGAUGAAGAGAUUGUAGCCCACACUUUGCAGAUUUGCUCUUGUGCUUUUAACUUUCAUAAGGAGAUUUUAGUAGAGUGGGGAGAGUAUGACAUAACUGGUGAAGCCAUGGGCUUUGGCUUCACAGAAACUGAGAUUUGAAUCCUAGUUGUGACUUGACCAAGUGACUUACUCUCUCUAAGCCUCAAUUAUUUCUAAAAUGGGGAUGUUAGUAUCUAUUUCAAGGGUAUUUUCCUGACUAUAUGAGAUAAUGUAUAUAUAUAAGCCCUGUGUCUGGCACAAAACAGUAGUCCAGUGAAUUGUUUAAAAAGAAAAAGAACACCUCCGAGACAAUAAUGCAUGCUUUCAUAAAAUGUUAAGUCCUUGAAAAGUUAGACUGCUAUACAUCUCAGUAAGAACAUCAAACUAGGCCACUAGGACCAGUAACAAGUGUAAAUUCUGGGUCCUCAUCAUUCGUGUAACAGUUUUAUUGAGAUGAAUCAGAAGAUUAAAUGCCUGUUGAUGACUGAGCCAGUGUUAAAUCCUUCUGGAAUAAGAAAGAAUAUUAUUUUAAUAAAAAUAAAUGUUAUUCACCAAGCAUUUCUGUACGUUUAAUAGUCCCUUUGUUUUACAGACUUCAAAACUUUUUCUAGUUAAGAUUUGAUAAGCCCUACUCAUUACUAAUCUCAUUAACCACCUUGAGUUGAUUAUGAACCUGAAAGAGUAGCUUUCUUUUUUUAAGACAGGAUCUUGGUCUGUUGCAUAGUCUGGAAUGCAGUGGCACAGUCAUGGCUCAUUGCAUCCUUGACCUGCUGAGGUCAAUCAAUCCUCCCAACUCAGCCUCCCAAGUAGCUAUGACUACCGGCACACACCACCAUGCCAGAGAUUUUUUUUUUUUUUUUUUGCCAUGUUCCCCAGGCUGGUCUUGAACUCCUGCGUUCAAGUAAUCCACCUGCCUUAGCCUCCCAAAAUACUGGGAUUAUAGGCAUGAGCCACCGUGCCCAACCAGGAGUACCAUUUUUUUCAAAAU
rnacentral:lncRNA from 1 species